rnacentral:rRNA from 1 species
UACGUAGGGAGCAAGCGUUGUCCGGAAUCAUUGGGCGUAAAGCGCGCGUAGGUGGCCUCAUAAGUCCGCUGUGAAAGUCCAAGGCUCAACCUUUGAAAGCCGGUGGAUACUGUGAGGCUAGAGUACGGAAGAGGCGAGUGGAAUUCCUGGUGUAGCGGUGGAAUGCGCAGAUAUCAGGAGGAACACCAAUAGCGAAGGCAGCUCGCUGGGACGUUACUGACACUGAGGCGCGAAAGCGUGGGGAGCGAACAGG